UCUCAGUUCGGAUUGGAGUCUGCAACCCGACUCCAUGAAGCUGGAUUCGCUAGUAAUCGCGCAUCAGCCACGGCGCGGUGAAUACGUUCCCGGGCCUUGUACACACCGCCCGUCAAGCCAUGGAAGCCGGGAGUGCCUGAAGUGCGUGACCGCAAGGAGCGUCCUAAGGCAAUACCGGUGACUGGGGCUAAGUCGUAACAAGGUAUC
rnacentral:rRNA from 1 species